AUAAAAGGCGUGUCCCUGGUCACAAUGUUCAGAUUAAAUCGUUUCCGUUGAACAUGAAGUACAUAUUAUUCCUCGCUGUAUCAGCAGUUGCUGUCGCCUUGGUGUGGAGCGAAUCAUGACACUUACACAACUCUGCACUGCAUCAACCAAGGGUGCACGUGCACCUACACGCAUGCAUCAUGUAUUCAGGUGGAGGAAAAGAACAUUCAUCUAAUACUUACCACCGCUUUUUGUAAACUAUGAAGAAGAACCAUACAUUGUGAUUGAUUUGUGUUUCCCGAAAC